GAUGAACGCUGGCGGCGUGCCUAAUACAUGCAAGUCGAGCGAACGGACGAGAAGCUUGCUUCUCUGAUGUUAGCGGCGGACGGGUGAGUAACACGUGGAUAACCUACCUAUAAGACUGGGAUAACUUCGGGAAACCGGAGCUAAUACCGGAUAAUAUUUUGAACCGCAUGGUUCAAAAGUGAAAGACGGUCUUGCUGUCACUUAUAGAUGGAUCCGCGCUGCAUUAGCUAGUUGGUAAGGUAACGGCUUACCAAGGCAACGAUGCAUAGCCGACCUGAGAGGGUGAUCGGCCACACUGGAACUGAGACACGGUCCAGACUCCUACGGGAGGCAGCAGUAGGGAAUCUUCCGCAAUGGGCGAAAGCCUGACGGAGCAACGCCGCGUGAGUGAUGAAGGUCGUCGGAUCGUAAAACUCUGUUAUUAGGGAAGAACAUAUGUGUAAGUAACUGUGCACAUCUUGACGGUACCUAAUCAGAAAGCCACGGCUAACUACGUG
rnacentral:rRNA from 1 species